GUAGUUAGCCGGGGCUUCCUCCUUGGCUACCGUCAUUUGUUUCGUCACCAAGGACAGAGGUUUACAACCCGAAAGCCUUCUUCCCUCACGCGGCGUUGCUGGGUCAGGCUUGCGCCCAUUGCCCAAUAUUCCCCACUGCUGCCUCCCGUAGGAGUUUGGGCCGUGUCUCAGUCCCAAUGUGGCCGAUCACCCUCUCAGGUCGGCUACCCAUCGCUGACUUGGUGGGCCGUUACCUCACCAACUAUCUAAUGGGACGCGAACUCACCUUUCACCGGAUCUCUCCUUUGACCCCUUGGCCAUGUGGCCCUGUGGUCUCAUGCGGUAUUAGCACCUGUUUCCAAGUGUUAUCCCCCUGUGAAGGACAGAUUGUUCACGCGUUACUCACCCGUCCGCCGCUCGAAUACUAACCGAAGUCAGCAUCCUCGCUCGACUUGCAUGUGUUAGGCACGCCGCCAGCGUUCGUCCUGAGCCAGGAAUCGAAACCUCGUACGUACGUAGACGGGCGGUCGGCGACGACGGCGACAG
rnacentral:rRNA from 1 species